GAGGAGAGGGCCAUAUUCUGAAUGCCAUCCCACUGAAACCAUCUACAUGAAGGAUAAAUUCCACCUUUUCGUGGCUUGCUGAACUUCUAAGACCUGAAGCCAAGACACCUGAAGAUGUCACAUUCUCAGUGGAAUGAACUGGCGGGCUGGGCAAAAAUCUGCCUCACAGCAAAAGGCACCGCCAAAAGCCGACAGUCAAACAAACCAAAAAAAUACUGCUGAUGGGGGAAAAAAUGACAGUAACAACUUCUUCUCUAAGGAUCUGUAAUCAGAGGCCUGCCCUUCUGAGGAUCUGGGAUUCCAAGCCAUACUCCCCGCUUAGUCGGGGGACACCCCAAACCUAGAAAUGAAGUGAUUCCCAGCAUCUUUUAGGAAGCUUGUUUCUCAUGCUGAGUGUAUAUUCAACACUAAAAGGAAACCAGCCUCUGAAGGAAACAAGAAAGGUGGAGCCACGGAACUUUUGUUUCCAAGGAGGAGAUUAUCUUGAGGUGCGCAAAGCAACUACCAGAACACUCAAAGGAUGAAAGGGACCCUUCAAAAUCUGGGAGAUCUCACUCGGAGCAGAUAAUAGAAAUGAAAGGAAAGCAAAUCUUGAAAAAAAAAUGGAAGGACUUAUGUUGGCUAUCCAGAAAGUCAGGAAAAAGGAGAACUUUUAAAAUGAAUUUUUGUCCCAAGUCUGCUAAAGAAAAAAGAAGAAAGGAUGAAUUCUGGUGGAACAACAAGGCUCCGAGCAUUUAGGAAAAUAUUCUCAGAGCAUUUACAUGGAUUUUUAAGACAAAAAAAUAAAGGCAAAUGCUUU